rnacentral:rRNA from 1 species
AUUCCAGCUCCAAUAGCGUAUAUUAAAGUUGUUGCAGUUAAAAAGCUCGUAGUUGGAUUUCUGGUUUGAUGCCCUGGCCCGCUUCAAAUUUUGGAGUGUGUGCCGGCUGUGCGUCUGCCAUCCUUCUAGAAAACGUUCGUACCCUUCACUGGGCCGCGUUCGAGAUCUAGAUCUUUUACUUUGAAAAAAUUAGAGUGUUUAAAGCAGGCAGUUGCUAUGAAUACAUUAGCAUGGAAUAAUAAUCUAGGACUUCGGUUCUAUUUUGUUGGUUUCUAGGGCCGAAGUAAUGAUUAAUAGGGACAGUUGGGGGCAUUCAUAUUCCAUUGUCAGAGGUGAAAUUCUUGGAUUAACGGAAGAUGAACUUCUGCGAAAGCAUCUGCCAAGGAUGUUUUCAUCA